AUCACUUCGAGUGAGUAAGAUCCCUCAGAGACGAUGAGGUUGAUAGGUCCGAGGUGGAAGCGUGGUGACACGUGGAGCUGACGGAUACUAAUCGAUCGAGGACUUAACUAA
rnacentral:rRNA from 1 species